rnacentral:rRNA from 1 species
CCUACGGGUGGCAGCAGUGAGGAAUAUUGGUCAAUGGGCGCGAGCCUGAACCAGCCAAGUAGCGUGAAGGAUGACUGCCCUACGGGUUGUAAACUUCUUUUAUAAAGGAAUAAAGUGAGGCACGUGUGCCGUUUUGUAUGUACGUUAUGAAUAAGGAGCGGCUAACUCCGGGCCAGCAGCCGCGGUAAUACGGAGGAUCCGAGCGUUAUCCGGAGGUAUUGGGUUUAAAGGGAGCGUAGAUGGGUUGUUAAGUCCGUGGUGACAGUUUGCGGCUCAACCGUAAAAUUGCAAUUGAUACUUGCAGUCUUGCGUACAGUUGAGGUAGGCGGACUUCGUGGUGUCGCGGU